UACGGAGGGCGCUAGCGUUGUUCGGAAUUACUGGGCGUAAAGCGCACGUAGGCGGCUUUGUAAGUUAGAGGUGAAAGCCCGGGGCUCAACCCCGGAAGUGCCUUUAAGACUGCAUCGCUUGAAUCCGGGAGAGGUGAGUGGAAUUCCGAGUGUAGAGGUGAAAUUCGUAGAUAUUCGGAAGAACACCAGUGGCGAAGGCGGCUCACUGGACCGGUAUUGACGCUGAGGUGCGAAAGCGUGGGGAGCAAACAGG
rnacentral:rRNA from 1 species